UACCAGCACCCCGAGUGGUCGGGACGAUUAUUGGGCCUAAAGCAUCCGUAGCCGGUCCUACAAGUCUUCCGUUAAAUCCAGCUGCUCAACAGAUGGGCUGCGGAAGAUACUAUAGGGCUAGGAGGCGGGAGAGGCAAGCGGUACUCAGUGGGUAGGGGUAAAAUCCUCUGAUCCAUUGAAGACCACCAGUGGCGAAGGCGGCUUGCCAGAACGCGCUCGACGGUGAGGGAUGAAAGCUUGGGGAGCAAACCGG
rnacentral:rRNA from 1 species